rnacentral:rRNA from 1 species
CCUACGGGAGGCAGCAGUGGGGAAUAUUGGACAAUGGGCGAAAGCCUGAUCCAGCCAUGCCGCGUGUGUGAAGAAGGCCUUCGGGUUGUAAAGCACUUUCAGUGGGGAAGAAAGCCUUGGGGCUAAUACCCUCGAGGAAGGACAUCACCCACAGAAGAAGCACCGGCUAACUCCGUGCCAGCAGCCGCGGUAAUACGGAGGGUGCGAGCGUUAAUCGGAAUUACUGGGCGUAAAGCGCGCGUAGGCGGUCUGAUAAGCCGGUUGUGAAAGCCCCGGGCUCAACCUGGGAACGGCAUCCGGAACUGUCAGGAUAGAGUGCAGGAGAGGAAGGUAGAAUUCCCGGUGUAGCGGUGAAAUGCGUAGAGAUCGGGAGGAAUACCAGUGGCGAAGGCGGCCUUCUGGACUGACACUGACGCUGAGGUGCGAAAGCGUGGGUAGCAAACAGGAUUAGAUACCCUUGUAGUC